rnacentral:tRNA from 1 species
GUCAAGAUGGCCGAGCGGUCUAAGGCGCUGCACUCAAGAUCAUAUCUUAUCCAAACUAACUGGACUUUGCAGUAUCGAAAGAUUCUUGGGUUCGAAUCCCAAUCUUGACA